rnacentral:tRNA from 1 species
GUUUUAAUAGUUUAACAAAAACAUUGGUCUUGUAAUCCAAAAAUAAGAAAUAUCUUUUAAAAUU